CCCAGACUCCUACGGGAGGCAGCAGUGGGGGAUAUUGCACAAUGGGGGGAACCCUGAUGCAGCGACGCCGCGUGGGUGAAGGAGCGUUUCGGCGCGUAAAGCCCUAUCGGCAGGGAAGAAGGAGGACGGUACCUGACUAAGAAGCCCCGGCUAACUACGUGCCAGCAGCCGCGGUAAUACGUAGGGGGCAAGCGUUAUCCGGAUUUACUGGGUGUAAAGGGGGCGCAGACGGCAGCGCAAGCCAGGAGUGAAAGCCCGGGGCCCAACCCCGGGACUGCUCUUGGAACUGCGCGGCUGGAGUGCAGGAGGGGCAGGCGGAAUUCCUGGUGUAGCGGUGAAAUGCGUAGAUAUCAGGAGGAACACCGGUGGCGAAGGCGGCCUGCUGGACUGCGACUGACGUUGAGGCCCGAAAGCGUGGGGAGCAAACAGGAUUAGAUACCCGCGUAUC
rnacentral:rRNA from 1 species